rnacentral:rRNA from 1 species
ACUGAACGCUGGCGGCAUGCCUAACACAUGCAAGUCGAACGGAGGUAGGGGCAACUCUACUUCAGUGGCGGACGGGUGAGGAAUGCGUCGGAAUCUACCCUAUGGUGGGGGAUAACACAGGGAAACUUGUGCUAAUACCGCAUAAUGUCGAGAGACCAAAGCAGGGGACCGCAAGGCCUUGCGCGAUAGGAUGAGCCGACGCCCGAUUAGCUAGUUGGUAGGGUAAAGGCCUACCAAGGCGACGAUCGGUAGCUGGUCUGAGAGGAUGAUCAGCCACACUGGGACUGAGACACGGCCCAGACUCCUACGGGAGGCAGCAGUGGGGAAUAUUGGACAAUGGGCGCAAGCCUGAUCCAGCAAUGCCGCGUGUGUGAAGAAGGCCUGCGGGUUGUAAAGCACUUUUGUUCGGGAAGAAAUCAUGCUGGUUAAUACCUGGUAUGGAUGACGGUACCGAAAGAAUAAGCACCGGCUAACUUCGUGCCAGCACGG